rnacentral:ncRNA from 22 species
CGCUCAUCCAGAGGGGUGGAGGGACCGGCCCUGUGAAGCCCCGGCAACCCUCCCGGUGCUGACGCUCUCGCGACCUGCGAGGCCGGCCGGGACAGGGUGCCAAUUCCGGCCCGCGACCAAGGUGGCGCGGGACAGAUGAGGA